AUUCGCAGUCUGACGGAGCAACGCCGCGUGAGUGAUGAAGGCUUUCGGGUCGUAAAACUCUGUUGUUAGGGAAGAACAAGUACGAGAGUAACUGCUCGGACCUUGACGGUACCUAACCAGAAAGCCACGGCUAACUACGUGCCAGCAGCCGCGGUAAUACGUAGGUGGCAAGCGUUAUCCGGAAUUAUUGGGCGUAAAGCGCGCGCAGGCGGUUUCUUAAGUCUGAUGUGAAAGCCCACGGCUCAACCGUGGAGGGUCAUUGGAAACUGGGGAACUUGAGUGCAGAAGAAAAAAGCGGAAUUCCCCGUGUAGCGGUGAAAUGCGUAAAGAUGUGGAGGAACACCAGUGGCGAAGGCGGCUUUCUGGUCUGUAACUGACGCUGAGGCGCGAAAGCGUGGGGAGCAAACAGGAUUAGAUACCCUGGUAGUCCACGCCGUAAACGAUGAGUGCUAAGUGUUAGAGGGUUUCCGCCCUUUAGUGCUGCAGCUAACGCAUUAAGCACUCCGCCUGGGGAGUACGGGCGCAAGACUGAAACUCAAAGGAAUUGACGGGG
rnacentral:rRNA from 1 species